UGACAGUUGGAUUGUUCACCAGUUCAAGGGCAAUCGACAUUCUCUUCUUCUGCCCACCGCUCAGUCUCGAUGCCCUCGUGUUCAAGUGCUCUUGGAGGCCGAGGGUUGUGAGGAUUUCUUUGAUCUUCGAUGGGAAUAAAAAGUUUCCGUUCCGAGCUUCAAAUCCGCAGAGACUUUCAUGUUUUCCUGAACAGUUAGAAGUGGCUGAAGUCGAUCGUCCUGAGUUAUGUACGCACUCGACCUGCAACUCACCGUUUCCCCCGUUACAACUCUGUUCAAAUUUGAAAAAAAUUAUUGAAAAAUGA